rnacentral:rRNA from 1 species
AUUGAACGCUGGCGGCAUGCCUAACACCUGCAAGUCGACCGAGUGUCGGACGGGUUAUUAAUGUCUGGGAAACUUCCUGAUGGAGGGGGAUAACUACUGGAAACGUUAGCUAAUACCGCAUACCAUCAGAUGUUCCCAGAUGGGAUUAGCUAGUUGUGGGGGUAACGGCUCACAAAGGCGACGAUCCCUAUCUGGUCUGAGAGGAUUACCAGCCAAACUGGAACUGAGACACGGUCCAGAAUCCGACGGGAGGCAGCAGUGGGGAAUAGUGCACAAUGGGCGCAAGCCUGAGGCAGCAAUGCCGAGUGGAUGAAGAAGGCCUGCGGGUUGUAAAGUACUUUCAGCGGGGAGGCGUUACCCGCAGAAGAAGCACCGGCUAACUCCGUGCCAGCAGCCGCGGUAAUUC